rnacentral:misc_RNA from 1 species
UAUUAUUAUUAUUAUUAUUAUUCCCAUUAAUGAUUCAUGAAUAUCCUGUCAUAUUUACUGGUGAAUUUGUACACAAAUUUCUGCUAGCUGCACACUUGGUUCCUAGCCCCAGUCCCUAGUCCUAUACUUUUUCUAAUGAAACAGUCACAUUUGUGACUGAAUAUGCAUUCCUUCAGUGAAUAUCUGUAGACAUAUAGUCAACUGAUGAACCCAUUUCUGAUUCUAUUUGUGAACUUGGUUGUAGGAGUGCUCGCCCACCAUGUUAAUUGUGCUUAUUACUCCACCA